UGCACGUUCACACUCGUGCGUGC
rnacentral:piRNA from 1 species